UAUCCGUAACUUCGGGAAAAGGAUAACCCAGCGUACGUGAAGUGCAGAAACGCACGGAGCGGAGAUGGGUGGCAGAAGAGAGGCCCAAGCGACUGUUUACCACAAACACAGGCGUCUGCUAAAGCGAAAGCUGAUGUAUAGAUGCUGACACCUGCCCGGUGCUGGAAGGUUAAGAGGAAGUGUUAGCGCAAGCGAAGCAGUGAAUUGAAGCCCCAGUAAACGGCGGCCGUAACUAUAACGGUCCUAAGGUAGCGAAAUUCCUUGUCGGGUAAGUUCCGACCCGCACGAAAGGUGUAACGAUUUGGGCACUGUCUCAACGAGGGACCCGGUGAAAUUGAAGUACCUGUGAAGAUGCAGGUUACCCGCGACUGGACAGAAAGACCCCAUGGAGCUUUACUGUAACCUGAGAUUGGAUUCCGGUAAGAGAUGUACAGGAUAGUUGGGAGGCUUAGAUGCAAGUACGCCAGUAUUUGCGGAGCCAUUGGUGGGAUACCAACCUUGUUUUAUUGGAAUUCUAACGAGAAGCGUAACGAGCUUGCGGACAGUCUCAGGCGGGCAGUUUGACUGGGGCGGUCGCCUCCGAAAGAGUAACGGAGGCGCCCAAAGGUUCCCUCAGCGCGGACGGAAACCGCGCGAAGAGUGCAAAGGCAGAAGGGAGCUUGACUGCGAGACGGACAGGUCGAGCAGGGACGAAAGUCGGGCUUAGUGAUCCGGUGGUAGAGAGUGGAAUUGCCAUCGCUCAACGGAUAAAAGCUACCCUGGGGAUAACAGGCUUAUCUCUCCCAAGAGUCCAUAUCGACGGGGAGGUUUGGCACCUCGAUGUCGGCUCAUCACAUCCUGGGGCUGAAGUAGGUCCCAAGGGUUGGGCUGUUCGCCCAUUAAAGUGGUACGCGAGCUGGGUUCAGAACGUCGUGAGACAGUUCGGUCCCUAUCCAUCGCGGGCGUAAGAAACUUGAAAGGGGCUGCUCCUAGUACGAGAGGACCGGAGUGGACCGACCAAUGGUGUACCAGUCAUGGCGCCAGCCGUGCAGCUGGGUAGCUACGUCGGGGACGGAUAAACGCUGAAAGCAUCUAAGCGUGAAACCAGCCUAGAGAUGAGGUUUCUCAUUGUUUUAACAAGUAAGGUCCCACAAAGACGAUGUGGUUGAUAGGCCGGGAGUGGAAGUACAGCGAUGUACGGAGCGGACCGGUACUAAUAGACCGAGGACUUGACUUA
rnacentral:rRNA from 1 species